CCCUUAGAUGUUCUGGGCUGCACGCGCGCUACACUGUCGGAUUCAGCGAGUCAUAUCCUUAACCGAAAGGUUUGGGUAAUCUUUUGAAAGUCCGACGUGAUGGGGAUUGAUCAUUGCAAUUAUUGAUCAUGAACGAGGAAUUCCUAGUAAGCGCGAGUCAUCAGCUCGCGUUGAUUACGUCCCUGCCCUUUGUACACACCGCCCGUCGCUACUACCGAUUGAAUGGUUUAGUGAGAUCUUCGGAUUGGCGCCUACGCGGCUUCUCUGAGGCCACGCUGGAUGCCGAAAAGUUGCUCAAACUGUAUCAUUUAGAGGAAGUAAAAGUCGUAACG
rnacentral:rRNA from 1 species